rnacentral:rRNA from 1 species
ACACGCAUGACACACUGCAUAUCAAUAAGCGGAGGAAAAGAAACUAACAAGGAUUCCCUUAGUAACGGCGAGUGAAGCGGGAAGAGCUCAAAUUUGAAAUCUUCAAGGUUCUACCUUGACGAAUUGUAGUUUAAUAGAAGUGUUUUCUGUUAGUAGAGUUGGCUAAAAGUUCUUUGGAAUAGGACAUCAUAGAGGGUGAGAAUCCCGUAUUUGACCAUUAUUUUCAGCUGUGUGAUACACUUUCAAAGAGUCGGAUUGUUUGGGAAUGCAGUCCAAAAUGGGUGGUAAAUUUCAUCUAAAGCUAAAUAUUGGCGGAGAGACCGAUAGCGAACAAGUACCGUGAGGGAAAGAUGAAAAGAACUUUGAAAAGAGAGUUAAACAGUACGUGAAAUUGUCAAAAGGGAAGCGUUUGACACCAGUGUUGUUUUCUCGAAAAUCAAUUAAAAAUGGCUUGAUUUUGUGUUGUAUUGACUUUAUCAGCUUUCUGCACUUUUUUCUUAUCUUUUUUAAUGCACUUUUCGUUUAACAAGUCAACAUCAAUUUCUUUUGUUGUAAAAGAGUCAUUGGAAGGUGGCUUUUCAUUUCGUGAAAAGUGUUUAUAGCCUUGUGCCUCUGCAAUCGGAGAGAUUGAGGUCUGCAGCGUAGAUCCUUCGGGGUUAGAUACGUUUGUGCUAAGUUAUAGCUUUUCAUAGACAACUCGUUGACUAUGUUUAGUCUUGUAGCUUACUCGCUGACGCUAUUUUACCUACGCUUAGGAUGUUGACUGAUAUGUAGUCGUA